GCAAUUUCUGUUCAAAUAUAAUAUUUAUAUAUUCACUUAACUCCUCAAAAAACCAACCAAAAAUGGGCGCUGAAAAAGUAACCAUGAACAUCGUCGUCGUCGGACAAGUCCAAUCUGCCAAGGCCAUCAAAUUGGUCGCCAAAACAACAAAAUUCUGUGGUUUUAUUAUUUAUGAAUAAUAGUGGGAUCGUAUUUUUUCCGGUUUGCAAUAUUUGCAAUAUUGUUAUGCACAUCCGUAGACUGACCUGUUAAUUCAAGUCCACAACAAUCUCAAACUCAAAUAUGCCAUAGCCCAAACAGUUCAUUUUUAAAAUUAUUUUAUAAUUUGUUUUUAAUUAUAAAAAUGUGUAUCGACAUUUCAAAAUAAAUCAGUCUCUUCC